rnacentral:rRNA from 1 species
GAUGAACGCUGGCGGCGUGCCUAAUACAUGCAAGUCGAGCGAACAGACGAGGAGCUUGCUCCUCUGACGUUAGCGGCGGACGGGUGAGUAACACGUGGAUAACCUACCUAUAAGACUGGGAUAACUUCGGGAAACCGGAGCUAAUACCGGAUAAUAUAUUGAACCGCAUGGUUCAAUAGUGAAAGACGGUUUUGCUGUCACUUAUAGAUGGAUCCGCGCCGCAUUAGCUAGUUGGUAAGGUAACGGCUUACCAAGGCAACGAUGCGUAGCCGACCUGAGAGGGUGACCGGCCCACUUGGAACUGGAACACGGUCCAACCUCCAAGGGGAGCAGCCAGAAGGAAACUUUCGGCAAUGGCGGAAGCCUGACGGAGCAACGCCGCGUGAGUGAUGAAGGUCUUCGGAUCGUAAAACUCUGUUAUUAGGGAAGAACAAAUGUGUAAGUAACUAUGCACGUCUUGACGGUACCUAAUCAGAAAGCCACGGCUAACUACGUG